AUUUCUUUUGUUUAAGGAAACACACAAAAAUAAUGUAAGAGUAGCAGCAAAACUGCUAGGAACAUUUUGUUCUAUGGAAAAAGACACUGAAGUGAAAAGUGCAACGAAGGGGUAGAACUUUCGUAGGAAGGAAAAACAAGCAAAGAGAAAAAAAUUUACAAAAGUUCCUAGAUCACUCCAUCUAUAUGCAAAUGCAUAAUGUACGGUGUAUGCUCGAACAAAGUAGAAAGGGGGCUAUAAAAACGAUUUGAGGAUAAUCCUUUAUUAAUGAGAAAAAAUUUGGAACGUCUAGUUUUGCGCCAACAUCAAGGGAAGACAAAAAAAAUUUUCAUUAAAACAGACUCAAUAAUGUUCAAUUGAGAUAGAAGAAUACAGAAAGAGUCGAAUGAUUGAACAUGUGGUGAAAAAGGCUGAAGAUGAAACUAGAUAGAAAGAGGCUGUAUUCCCAACAUCCAAAAAUGAGGAAAAACUAAAGAAGAGAAGGAAAGUGGAAUAAAAUGAAGAAAUUAAAAGAGAAAAUCAUACGAUGAAACUGAGAAGAAGAAGAAGGCAUUUUAUUUUAAUUUUAUUAAUUUUAUUAGAUUUCAUUUCGUUUGACGCUUUACGGUUUCAUGAAAUGCCAAAUUGCUAAUUCUUUAUUAGAUUUUGGAGUAUUUUCAUUGUUAGUCUGCGAGUAUUUUCAUUAUUAGUUUGUAUUUAAAAAGUUUCAUCGUAUGUUUCUAUAGAUGCGUUUUUUUUUACAUUAUUUGAAUUGAAUGAAGAAUUGAUUUGCUAUAAGAGAAAUUUUUGACUUGGUAUGGUU